rnacentral:rRNA from 1 species
AGAGUUUGAUCAUGGCUCAGAUUGAACGCUGGCGGCAGGCCUAACACAUGCAAGUCGAGCGAGAAAGUCCUUCGGGAUGAGUACAGCGGCGGACGGGUGAGUAACGCGUAGGAAUCUACCUAGUAGUGGGGGACAACAUGUGGAAACGCAUGCUAAUACCGCAUACGCCCUAAGGGGGAAAGCGGGGGAUCUUCGGACCUCGCGCUAUUAGAUGAGCCUGCGUAAGAUUAGCUAGUUGGUGGGGUAAAGGCCUACCAAGGCGACGAUCUUUAGCUGGUCUGAGAGGAUGAUCAGCCACACUGGGACUGAGACACGGCCCAGACUCCUACGGGAGGCAGCAGUGGGGAAUAUUGCGCAAUGGGGGAAACCCUGACGCAGCCAUGCCGCGUGUGUGAAGAAGGCCUUAGGGUUGUAAAGCACUUUCAGCGGGGAGGAAAAGUUGUACGUUAAUAGCGUGCAGCCGUGACGUUACCCGCAGAAGAAGCACCGGCUAAUUCAGUGCCAGCAGCCGCGGUAAUACUGAAGGUGCAAGCGUUAAUCGGAAUUACUGGGCGUAAAGCGCGCGUAGGCGGCUUGUUAAGUCGGAUGUGAAAGCCCUGGGCUCAACCUAGGAACUGCAUUCGAUACUGGCAAGCUAGAGUAUGGGUUGUGAAUUCCACGUGUAGCGGUGAAAUGCGUAAUAUUUGGAGGAAUACCAUGGCAGGCGGCCCCUGCCCAAACUACGUGAGUGGAAAGCUGGGAGCAACAGAUAGAUACCCUGUAGUCCACGCGUAAACGAUUUUACUAGCGUGGGGAACUGAUCUUAGGGGGCAGCUAACGCACUAAGUAGACCGCCUGGGGAGUACGGCCGCAAGGUAAACUCAAAUGAAUUGACGGGGGCCCGCACAAGCGGUGGAGCAUUGGUCUAAUUCGAUGCAACGCGAAGAACCUUACCUGGUCUUGACAUCCUGCGAACUUUCUAGAGAUAGAUUGGUGCCUUCGGGAACGCAGUGACAGGUGCUGCAUGGCUGUCGUCAGCUCGUGUCGUGAGAUGUUGGGUUAAGUCCCGUAACGAGCGCAACCCUUGUCCUUAGUUGCUAGCAGGUUAUGCUGAGAACUCUAAGGAGACUGCCGGUGACAAACCGGAGGAAGGUGGGGACGACGUCAAGUCAUCAUGGCCCUUACGACCUGGGCUACACACGUGCUACAAUGGCCGGUACAAAGGGCUGCUAACCCGCGAGGGGGCGCUAAUCCCAGAAAACCGGUCGUAGUCCGGAUCGCAGUCUGCAACUCGACUGCGUGAAGUCGGAAUCGCUAGUAAUCGUGGAUCAGAAUGCCACGGUGAAUACGUUCCCGGGCCUUGUACACACCGCCCGUCACACCAUGGGAGUGGGUUGCAAAAGAAGUGGCUAGCCUAACCUUCGGGAGGUCGCUCACCACUUUGUGAUUCAUGACUGGGGUGAAGUCGUAACAAGGUAGCCGUA